AUUGAACGCUGGCGGCAUGCUUUACACAUGCAAGUCGAACGGUAACAGGCCGCAAGGUGCUGACGAGUGGCGAACGGGUGAGUAAUGCAUCGGAACGUGCCCAGUCGUGGGGGAUAACGCAGCGAAAGCUGUGCUAAUACCGCAUACGAUCUAUGGAUGAAAGCGGGGGACCGUAAGGCCUCGCGCGAUUGGAGCGGCCGAUGUCAGAUUAGGUAGUUGGUGGGGUAAAGGCUCACCAAGCCAAAGAUCUGUAGCUGGUCUGAGAGGACGACCAGCGACACUGGGACUGAGACACGGCCCAGACUCCUACGGGAGGCAGCAGUGGGGAAUUUUGGACAAUGGGCGCAAGCCUGAUUCAGCAAUGCCGCGUGCAGGAAGAAGGCCUUCGGGUUGUAAACUGCUUUUGUACGGAACGAAAAGGUUUGGGUUAAUACCCUGGGCCGAUGACGGUACCGUAAGAAUAAGCACCGGCUAACUACGUGCCAGCCGCCGCCGUAAUAC
rnacentral:rRNA from 1 species